GGCAUUUUGAUAAACUCCCACUAAAUACCUAACAAUAAAAUCAAUUACCACAUAAUUAAAAUUUUUUCAAAAUCCAAGAAACACUCGAAGAGAAAUAAGAGAAGGGUGAGAGCUCACCGAAACCCUAAGCUCACUGUAGACAUCUCCACCGCCGUCUCCAUCGCCGCCGUCACCGCCGUCGCGGCCGCUAAAGUUAAUCUCCUUUCUGAUUCUGCUAUAAAGCUACUGAGAUUGAGCUAAGGCGCUUCCUUCAUCAACGCGUUUUCAGAUCUAAUUGCAAUGCCCAAGCCUCUGAGAUCGAGAGAAAUCGCUUCUUCGGUUAACUCUCCUUGGGCAAUGACGCUCGUGUUCUCCAUCGACAUUCUAUCCUUUCUAGGCUAGAUCCUUGAAGUACUGAAAAACUGGUUAGAGAAGAGCACUCAAGUUGUUGUCACUAAUGACGAGCGUAUAUUAGGACUAGGAGAUCUUGGUUGCCAGGCUGUUGUUUUCACAGAUAUUAGUCUUGAGAAAGCUAUUAAGUUCAAUGAUUUUUGCCACACUCAUCAGCCUCCUAUUGCUUGUAUCAAAACUGAAGUUAGAGGUCUUUUUACAGAGGAAAAGCCAGUUCUGGACUCGAAACUUUGGCAUGCAUGUGCUGGUUCCCUUGUUUCUUUACCUGCAGUUGGGAGCCAUGUGGUAUACUUUCCAUAAGGUCAUAGUGAACAAGCGAAAUUUCUAAUAUGUUUCAACUUAAAUAUUUUUAAGUUGGUUGAUAUUUCUGAGUGUAUUGAGGCACAGUUAUCCAAUCACAGAUCCUGAUGUGGAAGGAACUUGGCAUCAAAAGAGAAUUACUUAUCUGGACAUAUUCCAGAUACAAUUGCAAACCUUACUGGAUUGGCAGAAUUGGAUCUUUCAUCUAAUGGUCUUACUGGAACUAUCCCAAUGCCACUCUUUUCAAUUCCAAUAUUUAAUUUUUCGAACACACUUCUUUGUUGCGGCUCUAGCUUGGAUCAGCCUUGUGCUUCUAAACCUUCACUUCCUGGUUCAACCAACAAACCAAAAUUUGUAAAGAUUGUUGGUUUUGCAAGUUGUGGUUUAUUUGCACUGAUAAUUCUUGGGGCUAUCUUUGUAUAUAGAUACAAUCACUUGCACAGACAUAAAACUGAUGUCUUUUUUGAUGUUUCAGGUGAAGAUGAGAGCCAAAUUUUAUUUUGGCAACUGAGAAGAUUUUCAUGGCAUGAACUGCAACACGCGACUAAAAAUUUCAGCAAAAGCAAUGUAAUUGGCACAGGAGGAUUUGGAAAAGUUUAUAAAGGAGUACUCUCUUUUUUUAGUUCUCAGGUAUGAGUUUCAAGGUCCACCAGAUGCAUUCUCUGCUUCAGUUCAUGAAUAUAAAAUACUCUCUAAAAGUCUUUUGGGAUUGCAUUCAUAUUUUCAUUUUGAGAUUUUUAUGUAAUUAGAUGAUAUUGAAAUAUUGAAGUUGUUUUAUUUGACUUUUUAAAGAAAAACAAUAAUAGUUAUGUAGAAGAAUAUCAUAUGGAAUUAUGUUUGAAACUAUUGACAUUGCGAAUUUUUUU